UGGGGAAUAUUGGACAAUGGGCGCAAGCCUGAUCCAGCAAUGCCGCGUGUGUGAAGAAGGCCUUCGGGUUGUAAAGCACUUUUAUCAGGAGCGAAACGCUGUCGGCUAAUACCCGGCGGAACUGACGGUACCUGAGGAAUAAGCACCGGCAUAACUUCGUGCCAGCAGCCGCGGUAAUACAAGGGUGCAAGCGUUAAUCGGAAUUUACUGGCGUAAAGCGUGCGUAGGCGGUUUCUUAAGUCUGCUGUGAAAUCCCCGGGCUCAACCUGGGAAUGGUAGUGGAUACUGGGAGGCUAGAGUGUGUCAGAGGGUGGUGGAAUUCCCGGUGUAGCGGUGAAAUGCGUAGAGAUCGGGAGGAACAUCAGUGGCGAAGGCGGGCCCACCUGGGACAACACUGACGCUGAGGCACG
rnacentral:rRNA from 1 species